rnacentral:rRNA from 1 species
GCGUGUGUGAAGAAGGCCUGCGGGUUGUAAAGCACUUUCAGUAGGGAGGAAAAGCUGAAGGUUAAUAGCCUUUAGUCUUGACGUUACCUACAGAAGAAGCACCGGCUAACUCCGUGCCAGCAGCCGCGGUAAUACGGAGGGUGCAAGCGUUAAUCGGAAUUACUGGGCGUAAAGCGCGCGUAGGUGGUUUGUUAAGUCGGAUGUGAAAGCCCCGGGCUCAACCUGGGAAUUGCAUUCGAUACUGGCAGACUAGAGUAUGGUAGAGGGAAGUGGAAUUCCAGGUGUAGCGGUGAAAUGCGU